rnacentral:rRNA from 1 species
AUGUUAGCUUGCUAACAGGCGUCGAGUGGCGGACGGGUGAGUAACGCGUAGGAAUCUACCAAUAGCGGGGGAUAGCCCGGAGAAAUCCGGAUUAAUACCGCAUAAUCUCUACAGAGUAAAGGGGGCCUCUAUUUAUAAGCUUUCACUAUUUGAUGAGCCUGCGUAAGUUUAGCUUGUUGGUGAGAUAAAAGCUCACCAAGGCGACGAUCUUUAGCUGGUCUGAGAGGAUGAUCGGCCACACUGGGACUGAGACACGGCCCAGACUCC